AUUAUGCAGGAUUUUUCCAGGAUGUCAGACCCGAUGUCAUGACAUCAUGUACACAUAACAUUCAGUGUGAAUGUCUGGUGUUUUGUGAUUGCACAAUUAAUGGAAAUCUUUGUAUGAUUGAAGAUCUGAUUAGCUGGCGCAUUCAAUCAUGGAUUACAACCUGAUUUACUUAUUUUCCAAGGAGAUCUAACCAGUUGUUAUAAAAAUAUUUGAUUGGAAAAUAGAUUUAGGGUUUUCAAGAUGUCCAAGCCCAGCUGAAUGCUUCUAUAAAAAGGGACUUAGAAAAC
rnacentral:lncRNA from 1 species